ACCUACGGGAGGCAGCAGUGGGGAAUAUUGGACAAUGGGCGCAAGCCUGAUCCAGCAAUGCCGCGUGGGUGAAGAAGGUCUUCGGAUCGUAAAGCCCUUUCGGCGGGGACGAUGAUGACGGUACCCGCAGAAGAAGCCCCGGCUAACUUCGUGCCAGCAGCCGCGGUAAUACGAAGGGGGCUAGCGUUACUCGGAAUUACUGGGCGUAAAGGGCGCGUAGGCGGCGUUCCAAGUCAGGCGUGAAAGCCCUGGGCUCAACCUGGGGACUGCGCUUGAUACUGGAGUGCUUGAGGAUGGAAGAGGCUCGUGGAAGUCCCAGUGUAGAGGUGAAAUUCGUAGAUAUUGGGAAGAACACCGGUGGCGAAGGCGGCGAGCUGGUCCAUUACUGACGCUGAGGCGCGAUAGCGUGGGGAGCAAACAGGAUUAGAUACCCGAGUAGUCG
rnacentral:rRNA from 1 species